ncrna:unclassified sequences Clostridiales-3 RNA
UGGAGAGCUGAAGUAUCGAGAGAUGAAGGCGGAGCGAACAAGGUGGACUUUCCAAAGGAAAUGUAAACGUGGCGGAUGGAUAAUAAACCACAGAGGGAUCUAUGUAGAAUACCUUAUCCUCGAAACGGCAGAAGAGGAGCUCAUGUUCAAAAGAAUGUGUCGUGAAUGCAGUCAAGCAGACAGGCAGCUUCGUCAGAAAUUCCUUAGUAAAUAUUACACUGUAUGCGGGGGCGGGUGCGAAUAGCAUACAUUACA